UCGAUCUCCUUCUCCACGAUCGACCGACCGCGAGAGAGAGAGAGAGCGGCGCCGUAGCCGGCAUUGAUCCAUCAAGGGGAGGAAAGAUAUGGGCGACGGCGGAGAGGACGCCGUUCGGCGGCGAAACGCGGUGGCAGAGUACCGAAAGAAGCUCCUCCAGCACAAGGAGCUCGAUUCCAGGCUCAGGACACUACGCGAGAAUUUGAGGGCCUCAAAGAAGGAGUUCACUAAAACUGAAGAUGAUCUGAAGUCGCUCCAGAGUGUAGGGCAAAUUAUUGGAGAGGUUCUUAGGCCACUUGAUAAUGAGCGAUUUAUUGUCAAGGCAAGCAGUGGUCCGAGGUAUGUUGUUGGUUGCCGCAGUAAAGUGGACAAAGAGAAGCUGACAGCUGGAACACGGGUGGUUCUUGACAUGACUACUCUUACCAUUAUGCGUGCUCUUCCACGAGAGGUUGAUCCUGUUGUGUAUAACAUGCUUCAUGAAGAUCCUGGAAAUGUUAGCUACUCUGCUGUAGGUGGACUAUCUGAUCAGAUAAGGGAACUGAGAGAGUCCAUUGAACUGCCUCUUAUGAAUCCUGAACUCUUCCUUAGAGUAGGAAUCAAACCUCCAAAGGGAGUCCUUCUCUAUGGUCCCCCAGGAACUGGAAAGACAUUACUGGCUAGAGCAAUUGCUAGCAAUAUAGAUGCAAACUUUCUAAAGGUAGUCUCAAGUGCUAUAAUUGACAAAUAUAUAGGUGAAAGUGCCCGAUUGAUCAGGGAGAUGUUUGGCUAUGCACGUGAUCAUCAACCUUGCAUUAUUUUCAUGGAUGAAAUUGAUGCCAUUGGUGGGCGCCGGUUCAGUGAGGGUACCAGUGCUGAUCGUGAGAUUCAACGAACUCUAAUGGAACUACUCAAUCAAUUGGAUGGAUUUGAUCAACUUGGGAAGGUCAAAAUGAUCAUGGCCACAAAUCGACCUGAUGUCCUUGAUCCAGCUCUUCUUCGCCCUGGCCGGUUGGACAGGAAAAUUGAGAUUCCAUUACCAAAUGAACAGUCGAGGAUGGAAAUUCUUAAAAUUCAUGCUGCUGGAAUAGCGAAACAUGGUGAUAUCGACUAUGAAGCAGUUGUAAAACUUGCUGAGGGUUUUAAUGGAGCAGAUCUCCGGAAUGUAUGCACAGAGGCUGGUAUGUCAGCAAUUCGUGCAGAACGUGACUAUGUUAUUCAUGAAGACUUUAUGAAGGCUGUCAGGAAAUUGAAUGAAGCAAAGAAGCUUGAAUCAAGUGCUCAUUACAAUGCUGAUUUCGGCAAGGAUUAGGUUGCUCUUAAUUAUACCCAUUUUAGGAUCUUAAUGCUUGGAUCUCUUGUAGCUUUCGUUGCUCUGCACAUCUGACCUCAUUAAUUAGAUCUUCUGCUGUUUGUUGGAUCAAAGCUGAAUUGCUGAAGAAUCUCUUCCUGCCAGAACUUGUCCACGUGUGCAGUUGGAGAAACAGCCAAUGAGUACAUUGUAGACAUAGGCUGGGGUUUCUUUUCAGCUUAAAGCGUAAGCUAAGAGUUUCACAUGCCAGACCCACAAAGCCAGUGAAGGAAGAGGAGGAAGGAAGCAGGAAGCACUAGGAAGAGACGCAGAAGCAUAUACCCAUCGGCCAAGAUUGUUCACAAACAUGGAACCCCUGAAGUAUGUUUGUUAAAUGUUUUCUUUUUUUUUUUUUAAUGGUUUGGAUUAGACCGUUCAAAAUGGUUAGGGGUGUUUAUAUGUUUGUUAAAUAUUUUAUUAUUAUUAUUAUUAUUAUUAUUAUUAUUAUUAUUUUUAA